ACGCUCGACACCUACGGGAGGCAGCAGUGGGGAAUAUUGCACAAUGGGGGAAACCCUGAUGCAGCGACGCCGCGUGAAGGAAGAAGUAUCUCGGUAUGUAAACUUCUAUCAGCAGGGAAGAAAGUGACGGUACCUGACUAAGAAGCCCCGGCUAACUACGAGCCAGUAGCCGCGGUAAUCUGAGCGGGCUGGCAAGGC
rnacentral:rRNA from 1 species